rnacentral:rRNA from 1 species
CCUACGGGGGGCAGCAGUAGGGAAUAUUGCUCAAUGGGGGAAACCCUGAAGCAGCAACGCCGCGUGGAGGAUGAAGGUUUUCGGAUUGUAAACUCCUUUUGUUAGAGAAGAUAAUGACGGUAUCUAACGAAUAAGCACCGGCUAACUCCGUGCCAGCAGCCGCGGUAAUACGGAGGGUGCAAGCGUUACUCGGAAUCACUGGGCGUAAAGAGCGCGUAGGCGGGAUAGCAAGUCAGACGUGAAAUCCUAGGGCUUAACCAUAGAACUGCAUUUGAAACUGGUAUUCUAGAGUAUGGGAGAGGUAGGUGGAAUUCUUGGUGUAGGGGUAAAAUCCGUAGAGAUCAAGAGGAAUACUCAUUGCGAAGGCGACCUGCUAGAACAUAACUGACGCUGAUGCGCGAAAGCGUGGGGAGCAAACAGGAUUAGAUACCCGUGUAGUC